UCCCAUAAACCGUGGCUCAGUUCAGAUCGUAGGCUGCAACUCGCCUACGUGAAGGAGGAAUCGCUAGUAAUCGCAGGUCAGCAUACUGCGGUGAAUACGUUCCCGGGCCUUGUACAUACCGCCCGUCACACCAUGGAAGUUGGCCACGCCCGAAGUCGUUACUCCAACCCUCUGGGAGGAGGACGCCGAAGGUGGGGCUGAUGACUGGGGUGAAGUCGUAACAAGGUAGCCGUACCGGAAGGUGCGGCUGGAUCACCUCCUAA
rnacentral:rRNA from 1 species